GCCCUGUCCCAGAGAUAUUUCCUUCAAGCCAACGACCAGAAAGACCUGAAGGACUGGGUCGAAGCCCUGAACCAAGCCAGCAAGAUCACGCCUAGACAUACAGAAGUACAGAAGAAGAAAGGGGAAAGGCUAAGAAGGAAGGAGAAGGAAAACUGUAUGUUUUAGAAUAAAGUCGACCUUUCAUCAGUGAGACAGGCGGACUCUUGGCUUAUGGGCCAUGGUUUGGACGCCGAAAAGUUUGAGUUUCUGUGUUACACAGCCAGAAACACUCACAUUUGAGGGACUUCUAGUAACAACAGCUCUGUACUGGGGUAGAUCGUUCUCCCAGAUACCUCAGAGUUCCUGUGAAUAAAGGAAUAGAAAUCUG